rnacentral:rRNA from 1 species
GACGUAGGGCGCGAGCGUUGUCCGGAUUUAUUGGGCGUAAAGAGCUCGUAGGCGGCUUGUCGCGUCGACUGUGAAAACCCGUGGCUCAACCAUGUGGUCUGCAGUCGAUACGGGCAGGCUAGAAUUCGGUAGGGGAGACUGGAAUUCCUGGUGUAGCGGUGAAAUGCGCAGAUAUCAGGAAGAACACCCGUGGCGAAGGCGGCUCUCUGGGACGGUACUGACGCUGAGACGCGAAAGCGUGGGGAGCGAACAGG